rnacentral:rRNA from 1 species
CCUACGGGGGGCAGCAGUGGGGAAUAUUGGACAAUGGGCGAAAGCCUGAUCCAGCCAUGCCGCGUGUGUGAAGAAGGCCUUCGGGUUGUAAAGCACUUUCAGUGGGGAAGAAAGCCUUGGGGCUAAUACCCUCGAGGAAGGACAUCACCCACAGAAGAAGCACCGGCUAACUCCGUGCCAGCAGCCGCGGUAAUACGGAGGGUGCGAGCGUUAAUCGGAAUUACUGGGCGUAAAGCGCGCGUAGGCGGUCUGAUAAGCCGGUUGUGAAAGCCCCGGGCUCAACCUGGGAACGGCAUCCGGAACUGUCAGGCUAGAGUGCAGGAGAGGAAGGUAGGAUUCCCGGUGUAGCGGUGAAAUGCGUAGAGAUCGGGAGGAAUACCAGUGGCGAAGGUGGCCUUCUGGACUGACACUGACGCUGAGGUGCGAAAGCGUGGGUAGCAAACAGGAUUAGAUACCCUUGUAGUC